AGAGUUUGAUCCUGGCUCAGGAUGAACGCUAGCGGCAGGCUUAACACAUGCAAGUCGAGGGGUAACAGGUCGGAGUAAUCUGAUGCUGACGACCGGCGCACGGGUGAGUAACGCGUAUACAACUUGCCUCUAACUGGAGCAUAGCCCGGAGAAAUUCGGAUUAAUACUUCAUAACAUUACGAAUUCGCAUGUUUUUGUAAUUAAAGUUUCGACGGUUAGAGAUGGGUAUGCGUGCCAUUAGCUUGUUGGUAAGGUAACGGCUUACCAAGGCAACGAUGGCUAGGGGGUCUGAGAGGAUGGUCCCCCACACUGGUACUGAGACACGGACCAGACUCCUACGGGAGGCAGCAGUGAGGAAUAUUGGUCAAUGGGCGAAAGCCUGAACCAGCCAUGCCGCGUGCAGGAUGACAGCCCUACGGGUUGUAAACUGCUUUUGUAUUCCAAGAAACUUCUCAACGUGUUGAGAAUUGACGGUAGAAUACGAAUAAGCAUCGGCUAACUCCGUGCCAGCAGCCGCGGUAAUACGGAGGAUGCAAGCGUUAUCCGGAUUUAUUGGGUUUAAAGGGUGCGUAGGCGGAAUAAUAAGUCAGUGGUGAAAUCUUACAGCUUAACUGUGAAACUGCCAUUGAAACUGUUAUUCUUGAGUAUAGUUGAGGUAGGCGGAAUGUGUAGUGUAGCGGUGAAAUGCUUAGAUAUUACACAGAACACCAAUUGCGUAGGCAGCUUACUAAACUAUCACUGACGCUGAGGCACGAAAGCGUGGGGAGCGAACAGGAUUAGAUACCCUGGUAGUCCACGCUGUAAACUAUGAUCACUCGCUGUUGGCAACAAAUCGUCAGCGGCUGAGCGAAAGCAUUAAGUGAUCCACCUGGGGAGUACGUUGGCAACGAUGAAACUCAAAGGAAUUGACGGGGGCCCGCACAAGCGGAGGAACAUGUGGUUUAAUUCGAUGAUACGCGAGGAACCUUACCUGGGCUUAAAUGCAUUUUGACAUCCCGAGAAAUCGGGACUCCUUCGGGCAAAUUGCAAGGUGCUGCAUGGUUGUCGUCAGCUCGUGCCGUGAGGUGUCGGGUUAAGUCCCAUAACGAGCGCAACCCCUAUCGUUAGUUACCAGCGAGUAAUGUCGGGGACUCUAACGAAACUGCCGGUGUAAACCGAGAGGAAGGUGGGGAUGACGUCAAAUCAACACGGCCCUUACGUCCAGGGCUACACACGUGUUACAAUGGCAAGUACAAAGGGCAGCUACCAGGCAACUGGAUGCAAAUCUCUAAAGCUUGUCUCAGUUCGGAUCGGAGUCUGCAACUCGACUUCGUGAAGUUGGAUUCGCUAGUAAUCGCGCAUCAGCCACGGCGCGGUGAAUACGUUCCCGGGCCUUGUACACACCGCCCGUCAAGCCAUGGAAGCCGGGGGUACCUGAAGUUCGUAACCGCAAGGAGCGACCUAGGGUAAAUCUGGUGACUGGGGCUAAGUCGUAACAAGGUA
rnacentral:rRNA from 1 species